CCUCGCUCUAACACCUGCAGUCAGUUUAUGGUGAAGCUGUUCCAGUUCAAACUGCCUUUCAGACGUGCUAAAUAUAGACGCAAAAUCAGCCACCGCAAUCAGUUUCAGGUUUGGUCAGUUGCGUUGGGCUGAAU